rnacentral:misc_RNA from 1 species
UCCCUUAAACAACUCUUCAUGUUUAGCGAAUGCUUCUGCAUAACUCCCAGUCUGUUCCCAGACUUGUGAUGGAUCCGCAUCAUAGAAAACUGGCACAACAACAAGUCCACCAGUUUUCCUUAAUUCCAUUAUCUUCACAAGUUCAUCGAGGCACCAUAUUGAAGAAGCAUAGUUUUUUGAGAACACAACUAUGCAUAUUUUUGACUGUCGCAUUGCUUUUUCGACUUCCACAACAA